rnacentral:lncRNA from 13 species
AUGAAACUGAGCGACCUCAAUUGCCCUAAUUCAUUCUGCUUUUUUCCUUUUUUUUUUUUUUUUUUUUUUUUUUUUUUGUUUUUAAUUUUUUAUUGGAUUAUAGGUUUUGGGGUACAUGAGCAGAGCAUGCAAGACAGUUGCGUAGGUACACACAUGGCAGUGUGCUUUGCUUUUCUUCUCCCCUUCACCCACAUUUGGCAUUUCUCCCCAGGCUAUCCCUCCCCGCCUCCCCCUCCCACUGGCCCUCCCCUUUUCCCCCCAAUAGACCCCAUUGUUUAGUACUCCCCUUUCUGUGUCCAUGUGUUCUCAUUUUUCAUCGCUAUCCCCAUCAAGCUACCAUUGACUUUCUUCACAGAACUGGAAAAAACCACCAUGAACUUCAUAUGGAACCAAAAGAGAGCCCGCAUAGCCAAGUCAAUUCUAAGCAAAAAGAACACAGCGGGGGGCAUCACACUACCGGAUUUCAAACUAUACUACAAGGCUACAGUAAUUCUUCUCCUUCUUGAUGAAGUUUCACUCUUAUCACCCAGGCCGGAGUGCAAUGGUGUGAUCUUGGCUCAUUACAACCUUCGCCUCCUGGGUUCAAGCCAUUGUCCUGCCUCGGCCUCCCGAGUAGCUGGGAUUACAGGCGUGCACUACCAUGCCGGCUAAUUUUGUACUUCUAGUAGAGACGGGCUUUCUCCAUGUUCAUGAGGCUGGUCUCGAACUCCCAACCUCAGGUGAUCCUCUCACCUCAGCCUACCAAAGCACUGGGAUUACAGGUGUGAGCCACCACGCCCGGCCAUGUCUUUGCUUCUUAUCAACAUGUACUUAUCAAAUCACAGUCAAUUGCUAUCUACUUCUGUGAGCAGCAACACAGUGUAACACCUAAUUUAUGUAAGCAUCAAUGUCCUGGUGCAUUCAAUGGGUAUAAAAAGAGUAUCUGCCACAUCAGAUGCCUCUGUGGGUUGCAGGAGGUAAUUCAUAGAAAGCGCUUAGUACUAAAGUAGAUGCUCGAUGCCUGCUAGCUAUUUAUAUUAUCACAGUCUAGUCCUAGCAAACAAUUUCAACACUUCCUCAGCAGCAUGCAGGAUUCAGAAAAAAGCACAGCCCCCAUUUUAAUAUUCAUGUAAACAAUAUUUUCCAGUUAUAUUCUGAAUAUGAGACUAUACAAUGGAAAAUCCAUUCAGAAGAGCGCAUUACCAGAACCAACAUUUUAAAACACCAACUCAACUAUCAAAGCACUUUCACACCUGAGUUUCAGUGAAAAGGAGGAAGAUGCCACCACUCCCACAGGCCUUUGAGCUCCAGCAUCGUGACUUUGAAGACCAGUACAAAGGCUCCGCAGAGGGCAGCUGCAUAUACCUUCACACGUGUGGCCACACAAGAACAGAGACUUUACAUAUCACACUUUCUGCUGCAUAUUCCUAUCCCUCAAGGCAGCUAAAUGUAUCAGGGAAUUCUUUUUUUUAACCAUCUUUUUAUUUAAAUGCAUAAUCAGAAUAGUUACCAGGGACGAGCUAGAGAGAGAGAGAGAAAAAAAAAUAGUUCUAGAGAGUGGAGUCUUCUAUUGAUCUAAGAGCUGCUUUAUAAGCUCUGAAAGUUUUAUCCUCAGUGCAAAAGUGCCUGGAGUCUAUUAUUAGUGAAUUAAUAAGCUGUAUGAAGCAAUACAGUGCUGAAAAAUGUAGUCGUGCAGUUUCAAAUGUGGUAUCAAAUUUCAAGAAUUGAAUACAAGCAACUUAAAUGACAUAAAAGAACUUCCAAACUUUCUUCACAUUACAUCCUUGACCCACAACCUUUCUUCUAGCCUGUGCUGUCACCCGUGGACCCAACUCUAGUCUCUAACCUGAUGCCACCCCUGACUGUCUAUUCUUUCUAUCUCAACCUCUCUCCCAAUCUCAGACCCAUAUUUUCAACUGCCUUACCUGUGGAGGACCUUGAAACGCAUGAAUCUCAAAGUGGCACAGCACCUGUCGGUAUAUUUCUCCUCUUACAUGUUCCUCAUGAUCAAAACAUAGCCAAUCUCCAAUGCUAGAAACCUCACUUUUCUGGAGGUCCCCAUUCUUCUUCUCUGUAUCAUACACUGACCCAGUACUCACACUUCCUGGCAACCUUUCAAAUAGGUGUAGUCACAUAACACCAUUUUUUUUUUUAUUCCUAGGAAAAAUGCUUGCAUUCUGCCUAUAGGUACCUCCCUCUCUUGAUUCUCCAACAAAAAUAAAUUUUUUUUCUGAAUUAGUUACA